UACGUAGGGUGCGAGCGUUAAUCGGAAUACUGGGCGUAAAGCGUGCGCAGGCGGUGAUGUAAGACAGAUGUGAAAUCCCCGGGCUCAACCUGGGAACUGCAUUUGUGACUGCAUCGCUGGAGUGCGGCAGAGGGGGGUAGAAUUCCACGUGUAGCAGUGAAAUGCGUAGAGAUGUGGAGGAACACCGAUGGCGAAGGCAGCCCCCUGGGUCAAGAUUGACGCUCAUGCACGAAAGCGUGGGGAGCAAACGAGG
rnacentral:rRNA from 1 species